GAUGAACGCUAGCGGUAGGCUUAACACAUGCAAGUCGAGGGGCAGCACAAGGUAGCUUGCUAUCUGGGUGGCGACCGGCGCACGGGUGCGUAACGCGUAUGCAACUUGCCCUAUACAGGAGGAUAACCCGUCGAAAGACGGACUAAUACUGCGUAUGCUCACAACUUGGCAUCAAGUGGUGAGGAAAGAAAUUCGGUAUAGGAUAGGCAUGCGUCCCAUUAGCUUGUUGGUGAGGUAACGGCUCACCAAGGCAACGAUGGGUAGGGGAACUGAGAGGUUUAUCCCCCACCCUGGAACUGAGACACGGACCAGACCCCUACGGGAGGCAGCAGUGGGGAAUAUUGGUCAAGGGGCGGGAGCCUGAACCAGCCAAGGCGCGUGAAGGAUGACUGUCUUUUGGAUUGUAAACUUUUUUUAUACGGGAAUAACAAGAGUCACGUGUGACCCCCUGGAUGUACCUUAUGAAUAAGCAUCGGCUAACUCCGG
rnacentral:rRNA from 1 species